rnacentral:rRNA from 1 species
ACUGCUCAGUAACACGUGGAUAACCUACCCUUGGGACGGGGAUAAACCCGGGAAACUGGGUAUAAUACCCGAUAGUCCUCGAAUGCUGGAAUGCGUCGAGGGCGAAAGCUCCGGCGCCCAAGGAUGGGUCUGCGGCCUAUCAGGUAGUAGUGGGUGUAAUGGACCUACUAGCCUACAACGGGUACGGGUUGUGAGAGCAAGAGCCCGGAGAUGGAUUCUGAGACACGAAUCCAGGCCCUACGGGGUGCAGCAGGCGCGAAACCUUUACAAUGCUGGCAACAGCGAUAGGGGGACCUCGAGUGCCAGGUUACAAAUCUGGCUGUCGUUGUGUCUAAAAAACACGAUAUAGCAAGGGCCGGGCAAGACCGGUGCCAGCCGCCGCGGUAACACCGGCGGCUCGAGUGGUAACCGCUAUUAUUGGGUUUAAAGGGUCUGUAGCCGGCCUGGUUAGUCCUUUGGGAAAUCCGGCAGCUCAACUGUCGGGCUUCAGAGGAUACUGCCAGGCUCGAGACCGGGAGAGGUAAGAGGUACUUCAGGGGUAGGGGUGAAAUCUUGUAAUCCUUGAAGGACCACCAGUGGCGAAGGCGUCUUACCAGAACGGAUCUGACGGCAAGGGACGAAAGCUAGGGGCACGAACCGGAUUAGAUACCCGGGUAGUCCUAGCCGUAAACGAUACUCGCUAGGUGUCGGCCACGGUGCGACCGUGGUCGGUGCCGUAGGGAACCCGUGAAGCGAGCCACCUGGGAAGUACGGCCGCAAGGCCUGAAACUUAAAGGAAUUGGCGGGGGAGCA